UGAGCCAUCAAAAAAGAAAUAAAAGACAAAAUCAGAAUGAAAAGCAAAUGAAAAAGAGCAUUCUCAUUGCAUCUGGAAAGGAAUUGGCUCGACUCUGCUCCGGCAAAGCUCCAUGUCGUCUUUUCCGGUGAACUCCGAGGAUAGGCCCGCAUUUCAAAAGCUUGUGGAUAAUGAUGAGGCUACUAUUAAUGAUGAUAGUGAUGAAGAUGAUGAUGAGGAGGUUGAUGAUGCUGAUACAAUGCUCACGUUGGUAGAUAGUCCAACUGAUGCGACGAAUGAGAAUGCUGCUGAUGAUGCUAAUGCAGGAGUUUUUGAAGGGACAUUGAGCAGAUGAGAGAUUGAACAAAGGAAGAACCCUUUAUGCUUUUUUACAUGAAAACAAUUAUAUUUAUGCUUUUUUAUUAGCAUGAGUAGCUAAGAACCCUUAUUUUGUGGCAGCGACUACGAAUGACUGUUGAAAAUUGAUUUUGUUUGGAUCAAGUUAGUUAUCGUAUAAAUUAUGC